UACAUGAUAAAAGAGUCUGCCUUUUAAGU
rnacentral:piRNA from 1 species